GAACGCGAAGAACCUUACCUGGUCUUGACAUGUACGGAAUCCUCCAGAGACGGAGGAGUGCCUUCGGGAGCCGUAACACAGGUGCUGCAUGGCUGUCGUCAGGUCGUGUCGUGAGAUGUUGGGUUAAGUCCCGCAACGAGCGCAACCCUUGUCAUUAGUUGCCAUCAUUAAGUUGGGCACUCUAAUGAGACUGCCGGUGACAAGCCGGAGGAAGGUGGGGAUGACGUCAAGUCCUCAUGGCCCUUAUGACCAGGGCUUCACACGUCAUACAAUGGUCGGUACAGAGGGUAGCCAAGCCGCGAGGUGGAGCCAAUCUCACAAAACCGAUCGUAGUCCGGAUUGCACUCUGCAACUCGAGUGCAUGAAGUCGGAAUCGCUAGUAAUCGCAGGUCAGCAUACUGCGGUGAAUACGUUCCCGGGUCUUGUACACACC
rnacentral:rRNA from 1 species